rnacentral:rRNA from 1 species
UACGUAGGGGGCAAGCGUUUGUCCGGAUUUAUUGGGCGUAAAGAGCGUGUAGGCGGCCAGACAGGUCCGUUGUGAAACUAGAGGCUUAACCUCUAGACGUCGAUGGAAACCGUCUGGCUAGAGUCCGGAAGAGGAGAAUGGAAUUCCUGGUGUAGCGGUGAAAUGCGCAGAUAUCAGGAAGAACACCCGUGGCUAAGGCGGUUCUCUAGUACGGUACUGACGCUGAGACGCGAAAGCGUGGGGAGCGAACAGG